rnacentral:rRNA from 1 species
UAAGGAAUAUUGCUCAAUGGGAGAAACCCUGAAGCAGCAACGCCGCGUGGAGGAUGAAGGGUCUAUGACUUGUAAACUCCUGUAAAGAAGGAAAAAAUUCCCAUUAGAUGGGAGAUGAUGGUACUUCUGGAGUAAGCCCCGGCUAACUACGUGCCAGCAGCCGCGGUAAUACGUAGGGGGCAAGCGUUGUCCGGAUUUACUGGGUGUAAAGGGUGCUCAGGCGGAUUUGUAAGUCAGAGGUGAAAUCUUACAGCUUAACUGUGAAACUGCCUUUGAUACUGCAAGCCUAGAGUAUGGAAGAGAGUGAUGGAAUAUCUGGUGUAGCAGUGAAAUGCGUAGAUAUCAGAUAGAACACCAAUGGCGAAGGCAGUCACUUGGUCCAUUACUGACGCUAAAGCACGAAAGCGUGGGUAGCAAACA